UACGGAGGGUGCGAGCGUUGUCCGGAAUCAUUGGGCGUAAAGGGCGCGUAGGUGGCCCGGUCAGUUCGUGGUGAAAGCGCGGGGCUCAACUUCGCGUCGGCCAUGAAUACUGCUGGGCUUGAGCACUGUAGAGGCAGGCGGAAUUCCGGGAGUAGCGGUGGAAUGCGUAGAGAUCCGGAAGAACACCGGUGGCGAAGGCGGCCUGCUGGGCAGUGGCUGACACUGAGGCGCGACAGCGUGGGGAGCAAACAGG
rnacentral:rRNA from 1 species